rnacentral:rRNA from 1 species
GUGGGCCUACGGGGGGCAGCAGUGGGGGAUAUCGCACAAUGGGGGAAACCCUGAUGCAGCGACGCCGCGUGAGCGAUGAAGUAUUUCGGUAUGUAAAGCUCUAUCAGCAGGGAAGAAAAUGACGGUACCUGACUAAGAAGCCCCGGCUAACUACGUGCCAGCAGCCGCGGUAAUACGUAGGGGGCAAGCGUUAUCCGGAUUUACUGGGUGUAAAGGGAGCGUAGACGGCAGUGCAAGUCUGAAGUGAAAGGCAAGGGCUCAACCCCUGGACUGCUCUGGAAACUGUCCGGCUGGAGUGCAGGAGG